UGGCUCUCGCAUCGAUGAAGAACGCAGCGAAAUGUGAUAAGUAAUGUGAAUUGCAGAAUUCAGUGAAUCAUCGAAUCUUUGAACGCACCUUACGCUCUCUGGUAUUCCGGAGAGCAUGCCUGUUUCAGUGUCAUGAACUCUUCAACCCACCCUUUUCUUUCGAGAUGAGGUGUCGGAGUUUGGAUCUUGAGCUUUGCUAUUACAUUAGCUGGCUUGUAAGACAUUAGCAUCUUCGAAUUCGUAAUCGGAUUGACUUGGCGUAAUAGAUUAUUCGCUGAGGACACUUUUAGUGGCCGAGAUGAGAUUGAGAGAAGCUUCUAAUCUUUUCUACUUCUUGUUAUGAGAAGAAGGAAAACUUUCAUAUUUAGACCUGAAAUCAGACAGGAUUACCCGCUGA
rnacentral:misc_RNA from 1 species